rnacentral:rRNA from 1 species
ACGCGUAGGCCGUUGAGUUAGUUAAUUGUGAAAUCCCAAAGCUUAACUUGGAACUGCAAUUAAAACUGCUCGACUAGAGUUUGAUAGAGGAAAGCGGAAUACAUAGUGUAGAGGUGAAAUUCGUAGAUAUUAUGUAGAACACCAGUUGCGAAGGCGGCUUUCUGGAUCAACACUGACGCUGAGGCGCGAAAGUAUGGGUAGCAAAGA